CAAUAGCGUAUAUUAAAGUUGUUGCGGUUAAAAAGCUCGUAGUUGGAUUUCUGCUGAAGGCAGCCGGUCCAUGUUCGACAUGCGCAUCUGGAUUGACUUCGGCAUCCUCUCAGAUAACGAUUCUGUGCUUGAUUGCAUGGAGCGGAGUUUGAGACUUUUACUUUGAGGAAAAUAGAGUGUUCACGGCAGGCAAUCGCCCUGAAUAUAUUAGCAUGGAAUAAUAAAAUAGGAUCUUGGUUCUAUUUUGUUGGUUUCUAGAACGAAGAUAAUGAUUAAUAGGGACAAUUGGGGGGCAUUCGUAUUAACGCGUCAGAGGUGGAAUUCUUGGAUUGCGUUACGACGAACUACUGCGAAAGCAUUUGCCAAGGAUGUUUNCAUUG
rnacentral:rRNA from 1 species